rnacentral:rRNA from 1 species
GAUGAACGCUAGCGGCAGGCCUAACACAUGCAAGUCGAGGGGUAGCAGGAUUAAGCUUGCUUAAUUGCUGACGACCGGCGCACGGGUGCGUAACGCGUAUGCAACCUACCUUAUACUGGGGUAUAGCCCGGAGAAAUUCGGAUUAAUCCCCCAUAGUACUAAUGAAUCGCAUGGUUUAUUAGUUAAAGCAUUGCGGUAUAAGAUGGGCAUGCGUCCUAUUAGCUAGAUGGUGAGGUAACGGCUCACCAUGGCUACGAUAGGUAGGGGGCCUGAGAGGGUGGGCCCCCACACUGGUACUGUGACACGGACCAGACUCCUACGGGAGGCAGCAGUGAGGAAUAUCGGUCAAUGGGCGCAAGCCUGAACCAGCCAUGCCGCGUGCAGGAAGAAUGCCCUAUGGGUUGUAAACUGCUUUUAUUUGGGAAUAAACCUCUUUACGUGUAGAGAGCUGAAGGUACCAAAUGAAUAAGCACCGGCUAACUCCGUGCCAGCAGCCGCCGUAA